CUCAGUUCGGAUUGGAGUCUGNAACCCGACUCCAUGAAGCUGGAUUCGCUAGUAAUCGCGCAUCAGCCACGGCGCGGUGAAUACGUUCCCGGGCCUUGUACACACCGCCCGUCAAGCCAUGGAAGCCGGGAGUGCCUGAAGUACGCGACCGCAAGGAGCGUCCUAAGGUAAAACCGGUGACUGGGGCUAAGUCGUAACAAGGUAUC
rnacentral:rRNA from 1 species